GAAUCAAUUCAGUAAUUUGCACAGAUUCAAUAUUACUCCUAUAAUAUUACCAGUUAUAUUUACAUAUACUCUCUUUAAUAAGAUUGAUGAAGUAUCAUGACAGCUGAUAUGCAAAAUUCUACAUAGAAUUUGUGAGCUUGUAAACAUAAUCUGAAAUACUACCAGGGUUCAGAAACACUGCACCGAAGAAAAAACUUGGGAAGAGGUUCUACCUUCAAAGACAGGAAGCAUCCACCCAAACAUGCAUCGCUUUGACAAUAAGGUCAAGAACUGAGGACCUAAGAAACGGCAGAGCUAAAAGAGCUAUAACAC
rnacentral:lncRNA from 1 species